rnacentral:rRNA from 1 species
UACGUAGGGGGCAAGCGUUGUCCGGAAUCAUUGGGCGUAAAGCGCGUGUAGGCGGCUCGAUAAGUCUGCUGUGAAAGUCCAGGGCUCAACCCUGGGAUGCCGGUGGAUACUGUCGAGCUCGAGUCCGGAAGAGGCGAGUGGAAUUCCUGGUGUAGCGGUGAAAUGCGCAGAUAUCAGGAGGAACACCAAUGGCGAAGGCAGCUCGCUGGGACGUGACUGACGCUGAGACGCGAAAGCGUGGGGAGCAAAC